UCCGUAAAUCCGUAAUAAUAUGUGGAGCGAUAUGUUUGUUGUUGGUUACAAACAAAAACAAAUUAAUAAUACUGUGUUCAGUCAUGCACGAUUUGAAUUCAAAAAACGUUACCGAAGAUCUGCAGUUCUUGUACAUUUUAAUACAUGGCUGUAAGUGGUUGUACAUCACUAGUGUACUACUUUUGCUGUUAAUCAAGGCCUUUGAACAAAUAGUACAGUAACUUGAAGAAUGAGCAUGUAAUGCGAUGCAGAUACCUGGCCAAUGAGAUGAAGUUGUACCACUUCCAUCAGUCCCGACAUUUGUCAAAGAAGUGCAGUUUAUAAAUGACCAAGUGGAUAAAGCAGCCACACUCUCACUGGUCCAGAUAUUCCUCAAAGAAGAGGAAGGUGCGUAUUGUAAGGCAGAAGAGCCUGUGCUGGUCUCACUUGUCCCAGUGCUUCUCAAAGAAGAACAUGUGGUUGAUGAAUCGCCGGAGGACUUUGAAGUUGCAGUCACCCAUUGCUAAUAAGUCUGGUGUGUGCAUAUAGAACCAAAUAUGGAAGUUACUGUGAAGUGCCUGCAGGAUGACUGCAAUUUUUUUUCAACGUCUUGGCAAAUUUGAGAACACAUGCUGCAAAAGCACAUGCUUGCAGAGGAGAAAGGAAAGUUUAUAUUCCAGACAAUGGAUGAUACCUGGCCAAUGAGAUGAAGUUGUACCACUUCCAUCAGUCCAGACAUUUGUCAAAGAAGUGCAGUUUAUAAAUGACCAAGUGGAUAAAGCAGCCACACUCUCACCGGUCCAGAUAUUCCUCAAAGAAGAGGAAGGUGAAAGUAUUCAUGAAAUACUGACUGUCAGUUACACACUGAAGUAAUGAGAUAACUGUUAAUUGUAUUUCAUUUACCAGUAGUAGAAAACGCAUAUACAUAAAAUUUCUUAUAUACUAUAGUUGAAAGUCAAACUGGAGAAUACGCAUUAUAAUAAGCCACAAUUGUACUGUGUAUACACAGACAGAUUAGGUAGAUAUUUCUAAGGGACUCUUUGCAAAUGAUACAGUUGUGUGUAGUGAUUUCACAUAACUAGAAAAUUAUUGUUAAAUGCUGGAGGACUUGAUGAUGUUUAUGUGAUUCAGGGACAGGCAAGUGAAGUACUGUAGAUGUGUAAAUAGAUGAAAAGACUGUCGUUGCUCAGUUACUGGAAAAAGGACACAACCAGCAAUAGCUGCAGUUUCAGGAGAAAUCAGAUGGCAGAAAAUUCGUGCUGGACUGGGACUCAAACCCGGAUCCCUGGGACUCAAACCCGGAUCUCCCGGUUUAUGUGUUAGGUCGACAUAACCACUUUGGCUAUCCGUACAGGAGCCAUGACAAGAAACACUUCCAUAUGUCGUCAUCUGUGCGUCACAACCUGCACUCUUGCACUUAAUUUAUAGGGAUUGGAAAAAUUUACGUUUCUGCUUCAAAAUGCAAAAUUACGUUUUAGAUGCUAUUUUGUAGUAAAUUGUAUCCAGAUGAACUAUUUUAUCAGAGAUAAUUUGAAAUAGCUUGAUUCCUGCAUAAAAAUAUUGAAAAUGUAACCAGUUUUUGGUUAAUGGUAUUGUGCAUGUUCUGGCGAAGGCCAAUUUGUAAAGGUAAUGUGUAUAAGAACCUUUCUGCAAAAUGAAAGUGUACAAAUGCAACAACACAUCAAUGCACUAAAUGAUCUGAUGCCAGGCCAGUUGUGGGCGGUUGAAUGAUCUAUUUAAGAUACGUGCUGUGUAAUACAAUGUAGUACUCAGCUGUGGGACCUAGUAUUUUAUAACAAAGAAAUGUGUACAUUUGUUUGUUAAAAAAGCUCAAAAUAUGGUUUAAUGUGGUCAUUUCUAAAGUGGCAAAUUAGGAGGAGUAUGUUUUGAGCAGUGGUUGUAUCGAAUACUGCUAGAUA